GUCCACGCCGUAAACGAUGAUGACUGGACCGGUGCGGGUCUUACCCCGUAUCGGUCGAAGCGAAAGCGUUAAGUCAUCCGCCUGGGAAGUACGGUCGCAAGACUAAAACUCAAAUGAAUUGACGGGGGCUCACACAAGCGGUGGAGCAUGUUGCUUAAUUCGAGGCAACGCGAAGAACCUUACCUGGGUUUGACAUGUACGUAUUAACUCUAUGAAAGUAGAGCCACAGUCGCAAGACCGGAACGUGCACAGGUGCUGCAUGGCUGUCGU
rnacentral:rRNA from 1 species